UCAGCUUCUCAGCAUUUUGGCUAAGAUCAAGUGUAGUAUCUGUUCUUAUCUAUUUUUAACAAACAGUAUUUUUAUUUCAUUUCCCAUUAUAUGACCAGCU
ensembl:snRNA U2 U2 spliceosomal RNA